UUCUGCAAAUGACAGGAUUUUGUUCUUCUUUAUGGCUGAAUAACUCUCCAUUGUGCGUAAUAUAUAUUUUCUUCAUUUACCUAGGGCAUCUGGGAUGUUUCCACUGCUUAGCUAUGGUGAAUUACUCUAUCACUACAUUAUUCAGCAGAGCUCUUUCUUAAAGCCAUUCUCCAGAUGAAUUUCCAUGUUCUCCUUCCUCAGCUGAAAUCCAAGAAGCUCUGGGGUCUUCAGACUCUCUUCGGGCAGAGGACCUGUGUCUCGAAGGUUCUCUGGUGCCAAGGCUGUGGUGCUUAACUAAUCUCCAGAGCACCACUUUCUUACCCAAGCCUGACCCUGCCUCAACCAAGUAUUUUCUGGGGAUGUUGUGUUUUGUUUUGUUCUUGGUGCUGUGGAUUGAACCCAGGGCCUCCAGGUGCUAACCACAUGUUCUACAACUGGGCUACAAUCCCAGUCCCUAUAAUGAGGAGCAUUUUAGAGGAAAAAAAAUAUUCCUUAGUUAAAAUUAACUUUUCAGAGGAGCAGAAGAAAAGUCAGGUAAUCCACUCUACAUUUUGAUUCAGCUAAGCCCUCAUCCACAUUUUCAUGUCUCUGGGCUUGUAUUUCCUGAGCAGUCUCUGUUCAGUGCUCUGAACACAGGCGAAGGCCCCAGGAGAAGAGGGUACCACAAGGUAAGGUAGGAGAGAUUCACUUUCCUAAAGGUCCCCACGCUCUGAGAAACCUCCACCCUGAAACUGGAAAAGUGAAUGUUUGAGAAAUUUCAGUUCCCUGCUGAGCCACCUGGGGAGAAGCCCUUUCAACAAACACUACAGAAGCCAUCUACUGUCUGAGGCAGUCCCAGGGCUGUAUUUUAAGGGGAAUCAUUUGUAUUUUGGAGCUACCAAGGAACACUGAUUUAAUCUGCUCUGGGUUAAAGAGAGAGACAUCCCUGGUUCCUGAGCUGCAGCAACCUCCAUGUUGUCCUACAUGAUUUCAAACCUCUGACCCUGUGCCAUCCUUCUGAGUCAGCCCUGUACCCAGUCAGCCUGACAGAUGGGGGAGGAAGAGGCUGGGCUUCUGCCUCCUGACCACCCUGGUGCCUCAAGCUCCUGAGACCUCCUCAGAUCUUAGAUGCAACUCAGAUAAUACUUGGCUCUCCUCCCUCCCCUCUGUACAGCCCAAAGUCUUCUCAACAACUUGUUGCCCAAUCCCCUCCUUGCCCCACCAAGUUAUUUUCCAGGUUCCUAUUUCUGUCUGAUUGUGCAAGUUUCUCUCCCCCAGCAGGCCACAUACCCAUCACAUGAGGGCAGCCACAGGCGCAGAGGGAUGAAGGCUGAUGGGAAGUCUCCUUUCCUGGAAAGUCUCUUAUGCUGGUCCCCACUCUCAACAGCCAGCAUCUCAGGAAGCUUUGGCUCACUCAGGACGAUGACAGCCACAGGCCCCAGUGAGAUCACGACUUCCCCAGAAAACAGCUUCUGUGUUGCCUCCUCUAACUACUUAGCUAGAUCUGAACUCCCACUUUUUUCUGCCCAGUAGGUCUCCGGUUGUGGGAGCAAAUGCGUCCUUUGACAGUCAAAUCAAAGCCACCCAGCAGCCUGCAGAGAUAAAGUCAUGUGCUGCUGCUGCAGCUGGCUGGCUGGGAUGUCCACCCCGGGGUUAGGUGUUUGAGGCCCUUCAGGAGGACUGAGCUGCUUUUUUUUCUGGAGGUGAGGGCAGCUGCUUUUGUAAGAGACCCUAUUUGCUACUAGAAGUAAACAGAGAUGAGGAAGUUGCUGCAGAGAAGCAUCUUGGUCCGCAGAGUUCCUGGUUUCCGCUGCACUGUCUCUCUGGGAGGAUGCAGGCCGUGCUUCCUUCAGCUCUGCAAGAAACCCUAACUUCCAGCAAAGACCACUAACCCAAAGGUCAGUAUGUGUGGGCACAUUUCAACCAAAGCAGAGCUGCUGAAGAUUUCUAUGUGGCUUUCAGGCCCAAGACGAAAGAGAUUCUCUUUUAUCCAGGAGACUGGCUCUUAGGCACCCCCAGAAGCUUGCUGGCAGUGCCUAAGUCUACAAGCAAAGGUUCUGGCCUCCAAGUAAAAGGCCCUCUCCCCUGCCCAGCCCUCACUCUCCUGAUCUCCUGAGAGAGCUGGUGAGGGUGUGAAAACUCUGCCUAGGAAAGGUCAGGGUCACAGCCACUUUGUUCUGGAAAACAAAAGCCUCUUUAGCUCUGCAGGUGACAGAGAAGACAGGAGAAGCCUGGAGAAGACAGAUGAGACUCGCCAAGGUCCUGCUAUGACGAGCACCCAAGCCGCUGUCUCAGAAGCCACACUGUAUUUAGCAUCCUGUCAUCUGCUCACUUAUGUGCAUUUUAUAAAUCAUCAAAAGGCCACAUAAAGGUGUGAAGUAUACAGGCUGCUGGGGUUUUCAUUGUUUUGUUUUUGGAGGGUUUUGUAGGGCUGGGGAGGGGACCCAAAGCCUUGUGCAUGCUAGGCAAGCACUCUACCUCUGAGCUACACCCCAGCCCCUGUGGUUUUUGCUUUGCCUUUUUUUUUGUGGUCCUGGGGAUCAAACCCAGGGGCACUCUGCCACUGAGCUAUAUCUCCAGCCCUUUUUAUUUUUUAUUUUGAGAUACAGUUUCACUAAAUUGUCCAGGCUGACCUCCUGGACUUACAAUCCUCCUGCCUCAGCUUCCCAAGUAACUGGGAUUACAAGUAUGCACCUCUAUACCUGUCUAGGUUUGUUUUUUUUUAACUAUAAACUUAUUGUUGUUUUUUCUUCUAUUGUAAAGGUUAUAAAACCACAACAAAAAUUCUUUAGACAGGCUAAGACCACAGCUCAGUGGUACAGCACUUGCUUGUAUGUACAAAGCUUCAGGACCAGAAAAACAAACAGAACAACUUUUAGAUAAUAAAAGAGCAAAAUGUGAUUAGAAUUUUUCAGCCUUUUAAAGAAUGCACACUGUAGGUACGGGCUUUAUAUGCUUGUAGCCAGAGUUCCCAGCUUUGCAGGUUGUUUACAGAAAUUUCUCAGCCUGAUCCUUGGGCAGUGCCACCUUGAUUUUCUCAAGUUAUUGUUAUUAUGAUUUUUUUUUUUAAGACAGGGUCUAUGUAGCCCAGACUAGCCUCGAACUCACAGAAAUCCUCCUGCUUCAGCCUCCUGAGUAUUGGGAUUAUAGGCAAGUGCCAUUAAGCCAGCUCACAUUAUCAUGUUAUCUCAAUCAGGCAAGUUCUACCCGACAAGCUAUGACCUCACUUUAUUCAGGACCUCCUUGGGAAUAAAGAUGAGGCCCUGUGUGAAAAUUUAGUACAUUUUCCGAAUUCAAAUUCGUUUCCUGGGGGAGAAAAGAACAUCUCUGCAUUUGUCAGCAUUGUGCAGGGACACAAGAGAAGAGAAGCCAAGAACUGCUCCUGAUGGGCCUCAGGGCUCUUCCUUCCACUGGGCUCCACUGGCCUUUGGGACUGGGAGGAAACCUGGAUGCAGGCCAGCACAGAGCAAUCCGCCUGCCCUGUAGGGGCUGUGUUAGUGACUUCUUUGGCACUUCAGCAAUGGAAAUUAAGGACCAAGAGGAGAGGAAGGACAGAAGAAUUGGAAAGAAAAAAUUAGGCUUGAAUUGGAGAUAGAAGAAAAAAGAGAUUAAAAGGAAAUAAGCAAAUUAAGAUUUUAAAAUGUAUUUUUAAGAAAUACUGCUUUUUUAAGACAAGUCUUUUUUUUUUUUUUUUUUUUUUCCUUAAAGUGUGGGUUAAGUUCCUAAUUUCAGCUUCAGAAACCCUCAAACCCAGCCCAGAGACAGAUUCAUCACCCACAACCCAACACCUGGCAGAAAUAAAGUCAGUGGAGGCCUGGUGUGGCCAUCCCAGCCUCAGGAGGACGGAUGGGAGAAAGGCUUUCCAGGCUUCCUCACACCAUGGUACACGCAGGAAAUCACAUGUGCACAGCACACCAAGGUAGAGAGACAAAGCUGCCGGUGGUCAGAGGUGAGAUGGGGGUGGAGGAAAUCGCGGUUCCUCACACCUUCAACUCAUUCUAGGCAUGCUCACGGGAAAACGGUGGGAGGGAAAUGGGUCUUAAGAGAGCGCCUUUUAGUAAACUUCACCAAAUGGCUGAAGGAUUAAUAAGCAUUUUGAUUUUAGAAGCCUGCACACUGCAAAUAUAAAAUCAAAGAAGCCUCCUCUAAGCCAGCAAUCCUGGUCCCUCAGCAGGUACCUUGGAGGCUGUGUCCAGGAGAACUCACCUGCAUAGAGCACACUUCCAAAAGGAUUCACUGUUGGUGGGCACGGCUGCUGAGAGUAGAAAUGAUACCCUGGAGAAUGCCAUGCUCCAGCUUGAGCCAGACAACAGCCCACCUUGUGCAAGGUUCCUCUUCUCUAAGUAGGAGCUGGCAGGCCUGAUGAUCAAGAAUUAACCCAUGAGCACUUUUUAAAGAGCAAAGCAACCCUGUCUCUCCCAAGUGUGUUCCCUCCGUCAUUUGUUAUUCAAGAGCAGCUAGAGUAAGAAAAAGGAGGCUUCUGCUGUCUGCAAAAACCUAAGUUCAGCUCUGUCCUGGCCCUACCUACUACGUUCUCCAGGUCAGUUGGUGCCUGCAAGCAGCAAGGUCCAGGGGAGACAGAUGCCUCGAUCCUCCAGGGGCUGUCUACAUUUUCAGCAUUUUGUGUAGUGAAGAGAAGCCCUGCCAGGGACACCAGUGUGGAUCUAGCCAUCUCCAGGGCAGUGACCAGCGGCAUGUGGGGGACAUUCCAAUAGGCGCUGCCUGAAGUGGAAGGUGAAACCAGCUCCAACCCCUCAUUUUCCACUUAAAAUAAAUAGCUCAGAGAAUUUUCACUUCCUGGCUUCGGUGGCGGUCCCAUGGGGAAUUCCCUGGUGAAGAAGGGAGAACAAGACAAGGCAAGCCCACCUGCCCAGCACCCUGGCCAGACCACUUCCUCUGCUGCUCCAGCUGCAGGUCCUGCAGAAGCCACAGCUGCAGGCCUCUGAGAUUUCCCCAUGGGUAUGCGGGAGCCCCUAGCGCAGGAAACCUUCCCUGGAGGAAUUUAAGGAUGCCCCUGUCCUGGGCUUGGAAUUACCAGCAAAAGGGAAGAGCUGUAAUCCUAAUGAUGGUUCCCUGAAACUCAAAGGAUCAGGCAAGGAUGCGCCUUACUCCAGUCUCUGAGAGGCCUCAGCCCCACCUCAGAUGGUCUGAACCCCCUCACAUCAUCUGGAUUCCAUUUUUUGUUGUUGUUUUUCUGUUUGGGGCCUUUUUGAGGCAAGGUUCCACUAUGUAUAGUUCAGGCUAGCCUUAAACUCUGUAGCCCAGGCUGGCCUUGAGCUUGCAGUGAUCCUUCUGCCUCAGCCUCCUGAGUGCUGGGAUUACAGAUGUGUGCCAUCACUACUAUCUGGACUUCUAAGAAGCAAGCCACACAGCAAGGCUCCUUUCCAUAUGCGUUCCACAGCAGUGCUGGAUUCCUCAAAAGACACACCUAGGGCUGGGGAAAUAGCUCCCUGCAGUAGGCAAAGAAUUCAGCUCCCUGGCACUUUUAAGAAUGAAGACAUGGGUUCAGAUUAAUUCACUGUGGCCAUUAACUAAGCUUCCCAGGCCCCCAUGUUCUUCUCCUUUUAUACAAUGAAACUAAUGUCUUCUGGUUACUCUGAGAAUAAAUGAAGCAAUGCACAAAUUAGAUAUAAGUGCUUGUAAAUGUGGCAUAAAAGCCUGAAGGGCAUAUAAUCCACAACGCUGUUAAGUGUGGGCUCCUUCUGCAGGGAGGAGUGCAAGUGCUGGGCAGAGAUGACCAGAACUGACAUCUUACUCCAAAACCUAAGUACUGUCUUGAAUUUUUUAUAUUGAAAAUGCAUUUAUGUAAUUAAAGUGCACAAUGAUAGACACUCAGACAUUUUGUUCUUUUUUUUGGGAGACAAAGUCUGUCUAUGUAGUCCAGGCUGGGCUUGAACUUGCUGUGUAACCAGGCUGGCCAUAAACCUGUGAUUUUCCUGCCUUAGUCUCCUAAGUGCUGGGAUUACAGGGACAUACCACUGCCCAGGUUCAAAUGUUAAUUUUUAAAAUUGUGAUUUUUAUUAUAACUUACUAUUAAUUUGGCUUCUGGCUCAAAGUAGAAGACUGUGUAUAUGGAACUUACACCAUUAUGAUAAACUUGUCAUACGCCUCUCCUUAAUUUGAACCCCUAAACAUGAUAUGAAUCAUACAUAUAUAAAGAGACAGAGACAGACAGCAAAAAAAAAUAUGUAUACACAGUUCAGCAGUUCACUAUACUAAUAAUGUCUGGAAGCUAAUGAUCACCACUUUGAGCACCUCUUACAAUUAUAGAGGCCAAAGCUAAUUUGUACUAAUCUCACAACCUUUCAAUAAGUUUAGUAUUAAAAUAUUUAUACAAGUUUUUCUUUUCCUGAUGUAUACAAUUUUUGCCUAUAUAUACAUAAACAUAUAAGUUUUGUUAAUGAGAUAAGGUCUUACUCUGUAGGGUCAGGCUAGUUUUGAACUCACUGUAGCCUAGGUUGCCCUUGAAUUCCUGGCAAUCCUACCUCCUCAAACUCCUGAAUGCUGGGAUUACAGGCCCAGUAACAUGACUCAUGUUAAAAUAAAACCCAUUUAUGCCUAGGGUGAUAACACAGGGUGCCCUCAGGGAUCAGGAAUUAUAAGGAAUCCCUGAGGAUGGAGGUCAAGGGAUCAGACUGAAAGAGGAAACCAGAAGCUACACUACCAGGAGAGUGGGAGGGGAAGAGAGGGAGCAGAUCCUGGAGGAAUGCAGAGAGAACACGCUCCUCUCUUUUUGCAAACUAGUCCCCAUCAGGCUCUGGCUUCAGCUUCUCUUUUCACAUCACAGCUUCUGUUCCGUCCCUGGUGCACAGAGAGGCAACCUUUUUCUGUAGCACAAGGAACAGAAAUCAGGGCUUUGAAAAGCCAGGCAAACACUUCACUAGUAACCUACAUCAGCCUUUUAUAUUUUUAUUAUUUUGAAUGGUACUAAGGGUUGAACACAUGGCUUGGCACGGAGUUAUACUGCAGGUCCUUUUUAUUUUUUAUUUUGUGAGGCAGGGUCUUGCUAAAUUGUGCAGAAGAGGUUUGGCCUAGUGAUCUUCCUUCCUCAGAGUGCUGGCAUUACAGGUAUGUGCCACCAGACCUGCUGCCUUUGUCAGUUUCUGAGAAAGGAUCUAAGUUUCCCAGAGGGCUUCAAAUCCAUGAUCUUCCUGCCUCACUUUCUGAGUAGCUGGGGUUAUAAGCAUGCACCUGUGCAUAGUACAGCAUAGCUAUAUUUUUUCAUUUUUAAAAGAAUAUUUCCCACAAAAUGGGAAAGAAUUUUAGCCAGCAAUCCUUCAGACAAAGGACUUAUAUCCAGAACAUAUAAGAAUUGAAGAACAUCCAGCCCCCAAAUUCAAAGACCCUCUCCAAAAAUGGGCAUCUGAGAUGAACAUACAGUUCUCAGAUGAAGAUACACAAAUGGCCAAUAAAUACAUGAAGAAAUGUUCACCAUUACCGGUCAUUCAAGAAAUGCCAAUUAAAACAGCAUUGAUUUCAUCUCACUCCGGAAAGAAUAGCUGCCAUCAAGAAAUCAACUGUUGGCGAGGCUGCAGGGAAAUGGAUCACUGCUCCACUGUUGGUGGGAGUGUAGACUGGUAUAGCCACUGUGCAAUCAGAAUGGAGAUUUCUCAGAAGACUAGGAUUGGAAGUUCCAUUCAAUCCAGCUAUUCCCCACCUGGGUAUUUCCCCAGAAAAACUGAAGAGCUCAUAUCACAGUGAUAUAUGUGCACCCAUGUUUAUAGCAGCACAAUUUGUAAUAUAUAAAUCUUGGAAAUAACCAAGAUGCCCAUCAACUGCAGAGUGGUAUUUUUCUAUAAUGGAAUAUUACUUAGCUAUAAAAAGGAUGAUCUUGAGGCCUUCAUAGGCAAAUGGCAACAACUUGAGACUAUCCUCAUUAGUGAAAUAAAUAAGAAUCAUAUUUAUAAAUAUCACAUUGUGUCUCUAGUGUAAAAAAGUAAUAAGAAAUGUAGUAGUAACAUAACCUUAAAUGUGAAAUUGCUAUUGUAAGAAAGAGAGGAAAAGAAAGUGCUCUAAAGGAUAUAACUGUAUGUAUGUUUAAAUGUGUAGGAUUGUUAACCAUAUUACUAAGUUUUUGUUGGAUCGUUGAACAGAACUGUUUGCAGUCUUACUUAGUCACUUGUAUGACUUACUUUUGUAACUUGAACAACUAUUUUUAAGAGGACAAUAUGUAAUUUAUCAACUACUGAUUUCUUAUCGUUUAUUUUGUUUUGAAAUUAUAUAUUAUUUCUACUUUUUCUGUUUUUUUUUUUUUUCUUUAAAUUAAAAGAAAAUAAUGGGGGCCAGGGAUUUAGCUCCGUAGCAUAAGUGUCUGCCUUGCAAGUGCACAGUCCUGAGUUCAAUCCCGGGUACCAAAAAAGAGAAAAGAAUAUUUAUCAUGCCUUUGUUUAGAACAAAGCAAGAAGUCUAUGACAUGAAUUUACAGCAUGAAAUUAAUCAAAUUGAAAUGAUCAGUUUUCUAAGAAAAUAAAAAGUGUUUGAGAAGAAAACCUGAACAGAUUACUAACCUUUAAAAAACAGACAUGGGGGGUGGGGAUAUAGCUCAGCGCCUGCCUGAUAAGCACAUGGUCCUGAGUUCCAUUCUCUGUACCAAAAAAAAAAAAAAAAAGACAUGGCCAGGCAUGGUGGUGCAUGCCUAUUAUUCCAGCACGCAGGAGGCGGAGGCAGAAGGAUCACAGCAAGUUCAAGGCCAGCUUGAACUACACAGCUAGAUAGCCAGACCCUGUCUAAAAAAUAAAACAAAAAAAGAAUUUAAAAGAAAAAGGCUGGUAAUGUAGCUCAGUGUGAAGCCCUGGUUUCAAUCAACAGUACUUAAAAAAAAAAAAAGACAAAAAGACAAACAGUAGGGGCUGGGGAUUUAGCUCAGCGGCAUAAGCACUGCCUUGCAAGUGUGUGGUCAUGAGUUCGAUCCCCAGUACCAAUAAAAAAGAAAAAGACAGAAAAAAAAAAAAA